UGAGGAAUAUUGCGCAAUGGGGGAAACCCUGACGCAGCGAUGCCGCGUGAGUGAAGAAGGCCUUCGGGUCGUAAAGCUCUGUCAAGUGGGAAGAACUGCCUAGGGACGAAUAAUCCUUAGGUCUGACGGUACCACUGAAGGAAGCACCGGCUAACUCCGUGCCAGCAGCCGCGGUAAGACGGAGGGUGCAAGCGUUAUUCGGAUUUAUUGGGCGUAAAGAGUGUGUAGGCGGCCGGUCAAGCCAGAUGUGAAAGCCCAGGGCUUAACCCUGGAAGUGCAUUUGGAACUGGUUGGCUUGAGUUCGGGAGAGGGAAGUGGAAUUCCGGGUGUAGAGGUGAAAUUCGUAGAUAUCCGGAGGAACACCGGUGGCGAAGGCGACUUCCUGGACCGAAACUGACGCUGAGACACGAAAGCGUGGGGAGCAAACA
rnacentral:rRNA from 1 species